UUAAAUUGAAUGUUAAUCUUGGAUACAGGACGUUUGUUGAGAGAAGGCAACGGGAAAGCUCCGACAGCUGACUGCAGAUUCGUCUUUAUACUUUGCAGAAUUUACUCUCGUGGUUUACAUGAAUGAGUAUAUCAUGCCAAAUAGCAACUGAGACGAGAGAAAUUUUAAAUUUUGUCUGCCAAGGAUGACGCCGAAUGCCAUAAGAAACUAGAAUAAAUAUUUUUAGCAAGCUAUAAUAGUACAGAAUAAAUUUCCUCCACAAA